UGAAAAUCAUGAAGUUGUUGGAGUGGUGUUGUAGCCGUGUGAGGGGACUGUUUUAGGGGAGAUUAUGGACUGGUUUGUGUCACAUUUUGAUUGUUGUUGUUAUGGACAUUGUGGUGUAUUGUAUGCAUGUUGAAUAUGUGAAUUGAGGUGUUAAAGAAAUGAAUUAUGUUGAAGCAUACAAGCAGUCCAAAACAGUGGACUGUUUUAGUGCUAGAAGUGAAUUUGUAUGUGUUGAGUGUUGAUUCUUGUUGUGAACGUUUAUUGAAAGUGAAGUGCAAUGAUUCAGGUCGAAAUUGGAAUGAUUUGUGGGCUGUUAUAAGAAUGGAAAUGAUGCAUGAAAGUAAUGUCAUUAAACGUGUUGUUGUUGUUGUAAGUUAAAACUGGAAAAUUGCUAAGUGAGAAUGGACAUGUUAUGUGUGUUGUUUAGCCGUGUGUAUGGGACAGUUUUGAAUGAUGUAUGGACUGCCCAAGUUCCCUAAGUCAUGUUUAAACAAGUUUGGAUUAAUAUAUGAAAGAACGAUUAGCAAUGUUAGCUUGUAGCACUAGUUGGUUUGAAUGCGAACGAAACGUCGUUUAAAUGUUAGAAAGGGAUUGUGAGCGUCAAAAUACAUAUUAAAUUCCUUUGUAGACUAAUUGUAGCUCUUGAUAUCUUGAUAUAGGAUAAGUGUUUUUGGGCAGCAAGUACAAGUUAUAAUACGACUAAACGCUAAAGGUACAAACGCUUGUUUUGGAGAUCCGCCAGCUUAGGAUAUCUAUUCAGCUACUUUGGAGUGCUCCUUUGUUCCGGCGGGGCCCUGUCCCGUCAUAUGACACUAUCACUACUCUUAGAGGUCUGUGGACAUCUGUGUGGGUCUGUAUAUAGUUGUUGUUGCGUUGUAUGAACAUGACUUAUGUUUGGGGCGUACCCAUUCGUGAUGGCAGCCUUGUCGGCUUGCAUAUGUAUGUAUGUUGGGAAUGUUGCGUGUAAUGGCAGCCUUGUCGGCUUGCGUAUAUAUAAAUAUAUGUUGUUGUUAAAAA